CCUACGGGUGGCAGCAGUGGGGAAUAUUGCACAAUGGGCGCAAGCCUGAUGCAGCCAUGCCGCGUGUGUGAAGAAGGCCUUCGGGUUGUAAAGCACUUUCAGCGGGGAGGAAGGCGGUGAGGUUAAUAACCUCAUCGAUUGACGUUACCCGCAGAAGAAGCACCGGCUAACUCCGUGCCAGCAGCCGCGGUAAUACGGAGGGUGCAAGCGUUAAUCGGAAUUACUGGGCGUAAAGCGCACGCAGGCGGUCUGUCAAGUCGGAUGUGAAAUCCCCGGGCUCAACCUGGGAACUGCAUUCGAAACUGGCAGGCUAGAGUCUUGUAGAGGGGGGUAGAAUUCCAGGUGUAGCGGUGAAAUGCGUAGAGAUCUGGAGGAGUACCGGUGGCGAAGGCGGCCCCCUGGACAAAGACUGACGCUCAGGUGCGAAAGCGUGGGGAGCAAACAGGAUUAGAUACCCCAGUAGUC
rnacentral:rRNA from 1 species